GACGAACGCUGGCGGCGUGCUUAACACAUGCAAGUCGAACGGAAAGGCCCUGCGUUUGUGGGGUGCUCGAUUGCCGAACGCGUGAGUAACACGUGUGUAACCUGCCCUUGUCUUUCGGAUAACUUCACGAAACUGGGGCUAAUACCGGAUAGGAGCUCCUGCUCCAUGGUGGGGAUUGGAACGUUUCGGCGGUUGCGGAUGGACUCGCGGCUUAUCAGCUUGUUGGUGGGGUAGUGGCUUACCAAGGCUGUGACGGGUAGGCGGCAUGAGAGGGUGACCGGGCACAAUGGGCCUGAGGGACGGAGCAGACGGGAACGUGAGGCAGUAGGCGGGAGUAUGGCACAGUGGUACGGCGUCGGAUGCGAAGGCGCCGGGUGCGGGAUGACGGUCUGUGGGUAAAGAACAGCUGUCGCCUGAGACGAAGCGUUAGUGACGGUAAUGAAUAAAGAAGCACCGGCUAACUACGUG
rnacentral:rRNA from 1 species